rnacentral:rRNA from 1 species
CCUGACUGCUAUCGGAUUGGUACUAAGCCAUGUGAGUCAUUGUAGCAAUACAAGGCAUACGGCUCAGUAACACGUAGUCAAUCUAACCUAUGGACGUGGAUAACCUCGGGAAACUGAGAAUAAUCCGCGAUAGAUCAUUAAUCCUGGAACGGUUUAUGGUCGAAAAGAUUCGUCGCCGUAGGAUGGGACUGCGGCCUAUCAGCUUGUUGGUGAGGUAAUGGCCCACCAAGGCUAUUACAGGUACGGGCUCUGAGAGGAGAAGCCCGGAGAUGGGUACUGAGACACGGACCCAGGCCCUAUGGGGCGCAGCAGGCGAGAAACCUUUGCAAUGUGCGCAAGCACGACAAGGUUAAUCCGAGUGUUUCCUGCUAAAGGAAUCUUUUGUUAGUUCUAAAACCACUAUCGAAUAAGGGGUGGGGAAGUUCUGGUGUCAGCCGCCGCGGUAAAACCAGCACCUCAAGUGGUCAGGAGGAUUAUUGGGCCUAAAGCAUCCGUAGCCGGUUCUGUAAGUUUCCGGUUAAAUCCACUAGCUCAACUAGUGGGCUGCCGGAAAUACUGUAGAACUAGGGAGUGGGAGAGGUAGACGGUACUCGGUAGGAAGGGGUAAAAUCCUUUGAUCUAUUGAUGACCACCUGUGGCGAAGGCGGUCUACCAGAACACGUUCGACGGU